GCCUUCGUGGUGUAACUGUUAGCACAAUCGACGUUUAUUCGAGAGGUCCAGGUUCGAGUCCCGGUAAGGGCA
rnacentral:tRNA from 1 species